rnacentral:rRNA from 1 species
AUUGAACGCUGGCGGCAUGCUUUACACAUGCAAGUCGAACGGCAGCGCGGGGCAACCUGGCGGCGAGUGGCGAACGGGUGAGUAAUAUAUCGGAACGUACCCUAGAGUGGGGGAUAACGUAGCGAAAGUUACGCUAAUACCGCAUACGAUCUAAGGAUGAAAGUGGGGGAUCGCAAGACCUCAUGCUCGUGGAGCGGCCGAUAUCUGAUUAGCUAGUUGGUAGGGUAAAGGCCUACCAAGGCAUCGAUCAGUAGCUGGUCUGAGAGGACGACCAGCCACACUGGGACUGAGACACGGCCCAGACUCCUACGGGAGGCAGCAGUGGGGAAUUUUGGACAAUGGGCGCAAGCCUGAUCCAGCAAUGCCGCGUGAGUGAAGAAGGCCUUCGGGUUGUAAAGCUCUUUUGUCAGGGAAGAAACGGUGGGAGCUAAUACCUCCUGCUAAUGACGGUACCUGAAGAAUAAGCACCGGCUAACUACGUGC